rnacentral:rRNA from 1 species
UACGUAGGGUGCGAGCGUUAAUCGGAAUUACUGGGCGUAAAGUGUGCGCAGGCGGCCGCGCAAGUCGAGUGUGAAAUCCCCGAGCUUAACUUGGGAAUUGCGCUCGAAACUACGUGGCUGGAGUGUGGCAGAGGAAGGUGGAAUUCCACGUGUGGCGGUGAAAUGCGUAGAGAUGUGGAGGAACACCGAUGGCGAAGGCAGCCUUCUGGGCCAACACUGACGCUCAUGCACGAAAGCGUGGGGAGCAAACAGG